rnacentral:rRNA from 1 species
UUUGUAUAAUGGGUCAGCGACUUAUAUUCAGUGGCAAGGUUAACCAUCUAGGGGAGCCGUAGGGAAACCGAGUCUUAACUGGGCGUUCAGUCUCUGGAUAUAGACCCGAAACCAGGUGAUCUAGCCAUGGGCAGGUUGAAGGUUGAGUAACAUCAACUGGAGGACCGAACCGACUAAUGUUGAAAAAUUAGCGGAUGACUUGUGGCUAGGGGUGAAAGGCCAAUCAAACCUGGAGAUAGCUGGUUCUCCCCGAAAGCUAUUUAGGUAGCGCCUCGGACGAAUACUACUGGGGGUAGAGCACUGUUAAGGCUAGGGGGUCAUCCCGACUUACCAACCCUUUGCAAACUCCGAAUACCAGUAAGUACUAUCCGGGAGACACACGGCGGGUGCUAACGUCCGUCGUGGAGAGGGAAACAACCCAGACCGCCAGCUAAGGUCCCAAAUUACUACUAAGUGGGAAACGAUGUGGGAAGGCUCAGACAGCCAGGAUGUUGGCUUAGAAGCAGCCAUCAUUUAAAGAAAGCGUAAUAGCUCACUGGUCGAGUCGGCCUGCGCGGAAGAUGUAACGGGGCUAAGUAGUAAACCGAAGCUGCGGCAAUGCACUUU